GCUUUCUGAAUCUUCCAUUAGAACCAUGUUGGCUUCAGUGUCUUCAUCUUUUGAUUCUUCAAGAUCAUCCCAGGUAAACAUUGAUUUUGAGUAGGGAGAUUUCUUCUGACUCUUUUUGUUCAAUGGACAUUCGUUUUUGUAAUGUCCUAAUUUGUUGCAUCCAAAGCAAGUUACUUGACUUUUGUCAAUUUCUCCUUUUGAGUUAUCUUUCUUGUUGGGAAAGUAUUUCUUUAUUUGAUCUCUUCUUCUCAUCAUUCUUUGAAUCUUCUUUGUGAUGAGAGCUAGUUCGUCUUCUGCUUCCCCUUGGAUGUUUUCUUCUUCAUUGGCUUCUUCAGUUUCUUCGUUUUGUGGGAAGGCAUCUUUUUGUUCACUUUGAGAUGCUUUGAGAGCAACCAUCUUUCAUUUCCUUGAUGGUUUAUCAUCUUGAAGUAACGUCUCAUGAGCUUUUAAUGAUCCAAUGAGAUCUUCAAGAGCUAAGGAGUUUAAGUCUUUAGCUUGUGUGAUUGCAGUUACCAUGGGUCUCCAUGUGCUUGGAAGACAUCUUAAAAUUUUUCUUAUCCGAUCAUGAGUGGUAUAAGUUUUUCCCAGUGAUCUUAAUUCAUUCACAAUAGAUGUGAAUCUGGAGUACAUUUCAUCAAUGUUCUCAUCUUCGUUCAUUUCGAAGAUUUCAAAUUUUCUUACGCCAAUAUCUAUUCUUGUUUCUUUUACGUGGCUAGUUCCCUCAUGAUGAAUUUUUAGAGUGUCCCAAACUUCUUUUGCAGUGACACAUUCAUCAACUCUUUCACUUUCUUCCAUGCUUAGUGCGCAUGAUAGAAAGAGUCGAGCUUUGGAGUUUAGAAGUACUUUUUCUUUAUCUUCCUUUGACCAUGAUGCUUCUGGUGUGAGUGUAUCCACCUUUGUUGUUGCAUCAGUUGUCAUAGGUAUAUGUUCUCCAUUUGUGAUUAUUUUCCACAUAUCCACGUCUUGGGAUCUGAGGAAUAGUUUCAUUUUUCCUUUCCAGAAAUAAUAGUUCUUUCCAUUGAAGAAUGGUGGUCUUGUGCAUGAUAGACCUUCUGGUAUGUACUUUUCUUUUGACAUUGCCUUCUUCCUGAAUCUUUUCCUCCAACACUUGUUAGGUGUUUUUGUAGAGCCCGGGCUCUGAUACCAAUUAAAGUAGCAAUAAACGUCACAAGAAAGGGGGGUUUGAAUUGUGACCCUUUUAAAAAUUAUUCCUGAAACUUAAGUUUAGAUUUAUAUACUCAAGAAUAAUCUUGGUGUAUGUUAGCUUAACAAGAUUAGAGUAUAUAACAAUUAAUUGAAUUUAGAACAGAACAUUCUGAAGACUGAUUAUAAACAGAAUGAGAAAAAUGAUGUUAAGUUAAAAGAUUAUUUUAGCAAGGACCAGAAUGUUCUGGAGAUUAAUAAAAUAAUGUGUGUGUGUGUUGUGUAACUUUAAAUAAAGAGAGAGAUAGAGAUAGAGAGAGAGAGAGAGAGAGAAGAAUAACACAGGAGAGUUAUCCUGGUUCACCAAACCCGGCUACUUCCAGUCCCCACACCUCGUGUGAGAUUAUCCACUAUAGUUUUCUUGCUAACAGAAACUUCUGACUAGCACUACAAUAUCUUGAUCACACCAGAUCAGUCCGUAACCUCUGUAUUAUCAACCUCAGCAGGCUUAUACAAUUCUUUGCACACUAGCAAAAGAAAGGUUGGAAUUUUCUAUCUCAAAACUAUUAAGCCCAAUAGACUUUGAGAAAUACAACACUCUUUGUAUGAAGAGAUUUGUUUUGGAUCGAAUAAAUACUCAAAUCUUUGUUUGAGUUUUACAAGAGGCAAAUUCAAGAGAGAUGAUCCAAGAGAUAUAGUGAGAGAGCUUGGAAUUUGCUUUGUUUGUGAAGAGCUUUGUUUGUAGUGAUGAUUUUCACUUUGAGAGAUAUUAGCUUGCAAAACUCUUGCUUAUGACCUUCAAAGGCCCUUGUAUUUAUAGGUGAGGAGUGUCUUGGUACCAAGGGAGAAAAUAGAGCUGUUGGACACGUUUUUGAUAGCUGUCCAAAGUCUCAAUUGAUUUCUCUUUUCUUCUUUAAAAUAGCCAGAACGUUCUCAGAAUGUUCUUUCUGAUUUGCCUGACUUAGAAAGCACUGUUGCUUUGCUUGCGCAUGAGAUAACCAGCUGUGAUGAGCUGUAUAACUUGCAGCCCACUUCUGAUGAUGUCAUGUCCUUUUGCUCUAGUGAUGUCAUGCUUAAGUAAGCCAUGUGAUCUUAUCCAUUUAAUGGGCUUUACUUUUUCAAAUGGGCUUAAAGCUUUUCUUAUGGCCCAAUAGACAUAAUCAGCCAAGCUUUCUUGCUGUGCAGACUUGUUCGCUUUUGAUGUACUGUUCCAUUUUCAUCGUUUUCGCCAGAACGUUCUCAAUUCAUUCUCAUGAAACAAAUUCUCACAAAAACGAAUUAGUAGAUAACAAGAUUAAAUAAAUAUAAUAUGUUUGUAAUCUUUAAAACAUCAAAUAAGGAUUUUGUCUCAACAACUUUGUCCUCCGCACGAUUUAUUAGGAGCUUUGUCCUCCGCACGUUUAAAGUAUAUUAAUACUUAUGAUGACGAUUGGUACCACAUGCAUAUAAGGAGUCUAAGAGCAUUGUCGCAUUGUCGUGUCUAAGAUGCUAUGUUGUUGAUGAUGAUUGAAUAUGUGAUUACGUGAUAAUUGUUUAUCAAAUAUGCAAAGUUGUUUAAGAUUGAAUAUGAUGUUAAUGUUAAUUUAUGAUUCGAAUUACAUUGAUUAAUAUUAUUUUGUUAUGAAAUCUCACCCCUUCUGCUUGAAAAUGUUGCCCUUCGUAUGGGUAACUUGCAGGUGAUCGUGCUUAGUGUGCAGUUUGCCGUUGUGAGUGGCCUUGCCUCGCUGUGUCGUCUAGGUCGCUCUGAUACGUAACGGGAUGGGGUUUUAUGUUAUGCAUGCUUCAUUCUCUUACGUAACUAAUAUGUUAUUUUUAUAAUAUUAUCAAUUAUGAUUUGAAAUAUUUUGAUGGGGCCUGCGUGCCGAAACGUUUUAUGGAUUAUGAUAUAAUUUCCGCUGC
rnacentral:lncRNA from 1 species